rnacentral:rRNA from 1 species
AAAUGAAUUGACGGGGGCCCGCACAAGCAGAGGAGCAUGUGGCUUAAUUCGAUGCAACGCGAAGAACCUUACCUGGAUUUGACAUGUAUCUGCACGGCUUAUGAAAGUAGGCUUCCUUCGAGGGUGAUACACAGGUGCUGCAUGGCUGUCGUCAGUUCGUGCCGUGAGGUGUUUGGUUAAGUCCACCAACGAACGCAACCCCUAUGAUCCGUUGCCAUCGGGUAAUGCCGGGAACUCAGAUCACACUGCCUGUUUACGCAGGAGGAAGGUGGGGAUGACGUCAAGUCAGUAUGGCCCUUACAUCCAGGGCUGCACACGUGCUACAAUGGCUGGUACAGAGCGAUGCGAGACCGCAAGGUGGAGCAAACCGCAUAGAGCCAGCCUCAGUUCGGAUUGGGGUCUGCAACUCGACCCCAUGAAGUCGGAUUUGCUAGUAACGGCGUAUCAGCUACGACGCCGUGAAUGCGUUCCCGGGCCUUGUACACACCGCCCGU